UCGCACGCAGGCGUGAAACCGCUCCCCACCCACACCACCACUCCGGCAUCCUAGUGGGCCGCGGGCGCGCCCCAGCCUCCUCGCUGGUGCUGCGCAAACAUGGUCCGCUGCUCCGACGAGGACGCAGCCACCUCCGGCUUCCUCGGCAACGGCCGGCCGCGAGCGCCGCCCUCGCUAUGCUGCCGCCUCCCACUCCAACAUCCCAGGUGGGUCGCGGACGCCGGCACGGUCCACCGCUCUGCCGAGGACAUGGCCGCCUACAGCCUCCCAGGCUGGGCGCCUCCCAACCCCGCCUGUUCACGCCUCCCCAUCGGUGGCGCGUGGGCCACGGUCCCCCGAGGACGCUGCCACCGGUAGCCUCUCCGGUAGGUGCUAGGCGCCACCCACUCCGGCAUCCCAGAGUUUUGAAAUGACAUGAACAAAGAACUUGGCCAAGAGAGUGGGAGGUCAUAGCAAACUCUGAACUUAAUAGGUCAGCCAUGUUUUCUUUGUACAUUUGCUUUUCUCUAUCAGCGAUGUGUUGGUUGAUGAGCAUAUGGAGAAAAACUUUGGCCAACUUUGAUUGUACACAAGUCAUAUCGCCAUUUAUUUAUUAUCCAAUUGUAUGUAGGCAAAUAUUUCCAAUCAAAUGAACAUUUUUGCCAAAAUGUACAAGUCAUAUCGCCAUUUAUUUAUUAUCCAAUUGUAUGUAGGCAAAUAUUUCCAAUCAAAUGAACAUUUUUUGCCAAAAUGCUCAUAAUCCUUAUGAGCAUUUGAAAAUUAUAUGACAUCAACCUAUUUUGUUCUUGUGAUAAACACAUCAAUCUAUGGGAUUGACGGAAUUAAGAUGGAGGGAAGAGUAACCCUUGCAGACUUGACAGUAACAUUUCUUCCAUAGGCAGUCUCAAAUUUGCAGUCUCCUUAGAUUGUGUCGGCUCAUGGGAUAGGCUCAAAGGUAAUGAACCAGGGUCCAUAUUUCCUGCAGUUGUGGCACUGCAGUGACCUUACUGCUGGGGAACGCUAGACUGUCAAAGACCAUGCAUCACCCUUUCUCCAUUGACUAGAUCGCCAUCUCGAGCAAAAUUCAGCCCUGACGACAGGUGCCGCUUGGAGCUGAACUUUGCCUCUGUACCAAAUCAGGCGUGCCAAGAUUGAUGAGUAGCUGACACCUUAUUUUGAUGCAUAUAGAAUGGAUAGAGGCAGUGGAGUUUAAGAAAACUAGACAUAUAUAUAUAUUUUUGUUUACAUUUCAGUUUUCCCAGUAAUAUGGGCUUGUACUCUUCAAUAUGUACAUUUUUCAAUAGAAUCAUAUUAUCACGUCAUGCGAACAAGUACUAUGUUUAUAACCUUCCUAUAAUUAAUGCAGCUUGCUAUGAUUAUUAAAUUUA